AUGGCGGUAGAAGACGUCAAGAAGACAGCCUUCCUAACCCCGUGUGGGGUGUACUGCUACACAUGCAUGCCAUUCGGGCUGGGUAACGCAGGGGCGACCUUCCAGCGGCUGAUGCACAUCACCUUGGGCUCGCAGCUCGAGAAGAACGUUGAAGCUUACGUCGAUGACAUUGUGGUAAAUUCUCGGGAGGCUAGGACCUUGAUACAAGACUUGGAGGAAACCUUCGCGAGCCUCAACGCAGUGAACCUACGGCUCAACCCAGAGAAGUGUGUGUUCGGAGUCCCCUCGGGCAAGCUCUUGGGUUUCCUCGUGUCCCACCGAGGCACCGAGGCUAACCCGGAGAAGGUCAGGGCGGUGGAAGACAUGAGCCCGCCAAAGACCCUCAGAGAAAUGCAGAAGCUCAUGGGGCGCGUGACCGCGCUAGGGCGCUUCAUCUCCAAGUUGUGGGAACGAGCACUGCCCUUCUUCCAGCUAAUGAAGAAAAAGGGGCCCUUCGAGUGGACUGAACAGGCCGACAAGGCGUUCCAGGAUCUCAAGAGGUACCUGACCAGCCCACCGGUCAUGGUGGCUCCACGCCCUCAAGAGCCCCUGGUGCUUUACCUCGCCGCCACUCCCUACUCCGCCAGCGCAGCCUUGGUGGCAGUCAGAGAGGAGCGCCAAAUCAAAAUCGCGGCAGCAGCCCGGGACAAGGCAAAACAGGGACAAGGAAGGCCUACAGAAACUGCCACCGCGGCUGAGGAGGAUCAGCCGCCGCAGAGGGGCGCAUCGGAGGCGGAAGAGGCCCCUCUUCCAGAUGGCCAGUCUCAGGAGGCCUCAUUGCCUCAAGAGGCUCCAUGGUCUUCGAAGGGAGCCACCAGCACUGACGCACUCCACCGCGUUGAGCACCCAGUGUACUUCGUCAGCACGGUGUUGCGGGAUGCAAGGGCACGGUACCCAUGCCUCAGAAACUCCUCCUCGCGCUACUGGGGGCCUCGCGCAAGCUGCGGCACUAUUUUCAGGGUCACCCCAUCAAGGUCGUCUCGUCAUACCCCCUGGAGAGAGUGCUUAGGAGCCCUAAUUCAGCUGGAAGGGUCGCUGAGUGGAACAUAG
rnacentral:rRNA from 1 species